GACGAACGCUGGCGGCGUGCCUAAUACAUGCAAGUUGAGCGAUGAAGAUUGGUGCUUGCACCAAUUUGAAGAGCAGCGAACGGGUGAGUAACGCGUGGGGAAUCUGCCUUUGAGCGGGGGACAACAUUUGGAAACGAAUGCUAAUACCGCAUAACAACUUUAAACAUAAGUUUUAAGUUUGAAAGAUGCAAUUGCAUCACUCAAAGAUGAUCCCGCGUUGUAUUAGCUAGUUGGUGAGGUAAAGGCUCACCAAGGCGAUGAUACAUAGCCGACCUGAGAGGGUGAUCGGCCACAUUGGGACUGAGACACGGCCCAAACUCCUACGGGAGGCAGCAGUAGGGAAUCUUCGGCAAAGGACGAAAGUCUGACCGAGCAACGCCGCGUGAGUGAAGAAGGGUGUCGGAUCGUAAAACUCUGUUGGUAGAGAAGAACGUUGGUGAGAGUGGAAAGCUCAUCAAGUGACGGUAACUACCCAGAAAGGGACGGCUAACUACGUG
rnacentral:rRNA from 1 species